rnacentral:rRNA from 1 species
GACGAACGCUGGCGGCGUGCUUAACACAUGCAAGUCGAACGGAAAGGCCCUGCUUUUGUGGGGUGCUCGAGUGGCGAACGGGUGAGUAACACGUGAGUAACCUGCCCUUGACUUUGGGAUAACUUCGGGAAACUGGGGCUAAUACCGGAUAGGAGCUCCUGCUGCAUGGUGGGGGUUGGAAAGUUUCGGCGGUUGGGGAUGGACUCGCGGCUUAUCAGCUUGUUGGUGGGGUAGCGGCUUACCAAGGCUUUGACGGGUAGCCGGCCUGAGAGGGUGACCGGCCACAUUGGGACUGAGAUACGGCCCAGACUCCUACGGGAGGCAGCAGUGGGGAAUAUUGCACAAUGGGCGGAAGCCUGAUGCAGCAACGCCGCGUGCGGGAUGACGGCCUUCGGGUUGUAAACCGCUUUCGCCUGUGACGAAGCGUGAGUGACGGUAAUGGGUAAAGAAGCACCGGCUAACUACGUG